rnacentral:rRNA from 1 species
GACGAACGCUGGCGGCGUGCCUAAUACAUGCAAGUAGAACGCUGAAGGAGGAGCUUGCUCUUCUGGAUGAGUUGCGAACGGGUGAGUAACGCGUAGGUAACCUGCCUGGUAGCGGGGGAUAACUAUUGGAAACGAUAGCUAAUACCGCAUAACAGUAGAUGUUGCAUGACAUUUGCUUAAAAGGUGCAAUUGCACCACUACCAGAUGGACCUGCGUUGUAUUAGCUAGUUGGUGGGGUAACGGCUCACCAAGGCGACGAUACAUAGCCGACCUGAGAGGGUGAUCGGCCACACUGGGACUGGGACACGGCCCAGACUCCUACAGGAGGCAGCAGUAGGGAAUCUUGGGCAAUGGACGGAAGGCUGACCGAGCAACGCCGCGUGAGGGAAGAAAGUUGUCGGAUCGUAAAGCUCGGUUGUAAGAGAAGAACGAGUGUGAGAGUGAAAAGUUCACACUGUGACGGUAUCUGACCAGAAAGGGACGGCUAACUACGUG